GGUUAAGCGACUAAGCGUACACGGUGGAUGCCCUGGCAGUCAGAGGCGAUGAAGGGCGUGCUAAUCUGCGAUAAGCGCCGGUAAGGUGAUAUGAACCGUUAUAACCGGCGAUACCCGAAUGGGGAAACCCAGUGUGACUCGUCACACUAUCAUUAACUGAAUCCAUAGGUUAAUGAGGCGAACCGGGGGAACUGAAACAUCUAAGUACCCCGAGGAAAAGAAAUCAACCGAGAUUCCCCCAGUAGCGGCGAGCGAACGGGGAGGAGCCCAGAGCCUGAAUCAGCAUGUGUGUUAGUGGAAGCGUCUGGAAAGGCGCGCGAUACAGGGUGACAGCCCCGUACACAAAAGCGCAUGUGCUGUGAGCUCGAUGAGUAGGGCGGGACACGUGGUAUCCUGUCUGAAUAUGGGGGGACCAUCCUCCAAGGCUAAAUACUCCUGACUGACCGAUAGUGAACCAGUACCGUGAGGGAAAGGCGAAAAGAACCCCGGCGAGGGGAGUGAAAAAGAACCUGAAACCGUGUACGUACAAGCAGUGGGAGCCCCACCACUAAGCCAGUGGUGAACUCCACAUACGCAUCCUUUGCUGAGGAUACGGUUAACGGAGCGAAAGCGACGUUCAACCGCAAAAGAAGCAGAGGGGGCUUAGUGGUGGGGUGACUGCGUACCUUUUGUAUAAUGGGUCAGCGACUUAUAUUCUGUAGCAAGGUUAACCGCAUAGGGGAGCCGGAGGGAAACCGAGUCUUAACCGGGCGUUAAGUUGCAGGGUAUAGACCCGAAACCCGGUGAUCUAGCCAUGGGCAGGUUGAAGGUUGGGUAACACUAACUGGAGGACCGAACCGACUAAUGUUGAAAAAUUAGCGGAUGACCUGUGGCUGGGGGUGAAAGGCCAAUCAAACCGGGAGAUAGCUGGUUCUCCCCGAAAGCUAUUUAGGUAGCGCCUCGUGAAUUCAUCUCCGGGGGUAGAGCACUGUUUCGGCUAGGGGGCCAUCCCGGCUUACCAACCCGAUGCAAACUGCGAAUACCGGAGAAUGUUAUCACGGGAGACACACGGCGGGUGCUAACGUCCGUCGUGAAGAGGGAAACAACCCAGACCGCCAGCUAAGGUCCCAAAGUCAUGGUUAAGUGGGAAACGAUGUGGGAAGGCCCAGACAGCCAGGAUGUUGGCUUAGAAGCAGCCAUCAUUUAAAGAAAGCGUAAUAGCUCACUGGUCGAGUCGGCCUGCGCGGAAGAUGUAACGGGGCUAAACCAUGCACCGAAGCUGCGGCAGCGACGCUGAUGCGUUGUUGGGUAGGGGAGCGUUCUGUAAGCCUGCGAAGGUGGCCUGUGAGGGUUGCUGGAGGUAUCAGAAGUGCGAAUGCUGACAUAAGUAACGAUAAAGCGGGUGAAAAGCCCGCUCGCCGGAAGACCAAGGGUUCCUGUCCAACGUUAAUCGGGGCAGGGUGAGUCGACCCCUAAGGCGAGGCCGAAAGGCGUAGUCGAUGGGAAACGGGUUAAUAUUCCCGUACUUGGUGUUACUGCGAAGGGGGGACGGAGAAGGCUAUGUUGGCCGGGCGACGGUUGUCCCGGUUUAAGCGUGUAGGUGUGUGUUCCAGGUAAAUCCGGUUCACUUUAACACUGAGGCGUGAUGACGAGGCACUACGGUGCUGAAGCAACAAAUGCCCUGCUUCCAGGAAAAGCCUCUAAGCAUCAGGUAACAUCAAAUCGUACCCCAAACCGACACAGGUGGUCAGGUAGAGAAUACCAAGGCGCUUGAGAGAACUCGGGUGAAGGAACUAGGCAAAAUGGUGCCGUAACUUCGGGAGAAGGCACGCUGACACGUAGGUGAAGUGAUUUACUCACGGAGCUGAAGUCAGUCGAAGAUACCAGCUGGCUGCAACUGUUUAUUAAAAACACAGCACUGUGCAAACACGAAAGUGGACGUAUACGGUGUGACGCCUGCCCGGUGCCGGAAGGUUAAUUGAUGGGGUCAGCGCAAGCGAAGCUCCUGAUCGAAGCCCCGGUAAACGGCGGCCGUAACUAUAACGGUCCUAAGGUAGCGAAAUUCCUUGUCGGGUAAGUUCCGACCUGCACGAAUGGCGUAAUGAUGGCCAGGCUGUCUCCACCCGAGACUCAGUGAAAUUGAACUCGCUGUGAAGAUGCAGUGUACCCGCGGCAAGACGGAAAGACCCCGUGAACCUUUACUAUAGCUUGACACUGAACAUUGAGCCUUGAUGUGUAGGAUAGGUGGGAGGCUUUGAAGUGUGGACGCCAGUCUGCAUGGAGCCGACCUUGAAAUACCACCCUUUAAUGUUU
rnacentral:rRNA from 1 species